UACGGAGGGUGCAAGCGUUAUCCGGAAUCACUGGGCGUAAAGGGCGCGUAGGCGGCCUGGUAAGUAGGGGGUGAAAUCUCAUGGCUCAACUGUGAGGCUGCCUUCUAGACUGCCGGGCUUGAGCAUGGUAGAGGCUGGUGGAAUUCCCGGUGUAGCGGUGGAAUGCGUAGAGAUCGGGAAGAACAUCCGUGGCGAAGGCGGCCAGCUGGGCCAUCUGCUGACGCUGAGGCGCGAAAGCGUGGGGAGCAAACAGG
rnacentral:rRNA from 1 species